UUCAAUUGUUCACAAAAGAAAACCCAGCCCACUAUUCCAAUACACACGCAUACAGAAACACCCAGAUGACCUGACCCUGUUCAUCUUCUUCGUGAUUUACUCAGAAAUGCAACAAUACUAAAACACCCUCCUAUAUGCGUUCAUCUUCAUGCGAGAGACGCUUACAGGUACCCAGUACUAUUUUGGUGUCUUUUUCUUUGCUCCAUCGACGAUUCGUACAAAGCUCCAGUGCUAGGUGGAAACGAGAUCAACGAUUCACUUGUCCUGACGUCUAAAUGGAACGACUCUAGUUUUCUUAGUCGUUGAAAUUUGUCACCAGGUGAUGAAUUUUGUAUUACUCGAGCUGUUUUUUAUACCUUUUCCUUUGAGAAAAUUUGAAAUCUUAACUUUUGCCACAUCAUUUUCCCCUCAAUUUCGACCUAGAAUCCUUUCUAUAUAAACCCUCUUCAUUCACUGUUUUAGAGGACGAUUUUCGGAGACUAAAGAGUACCCAGAAAGUUUUGGGAAUUCUUGGUUCCAUAGUUAAAAAUUUUAAAACGUUUAGUGGCUUUUCGAGUUGAAGAAGUGGAGUCGUCUUUUCAACUCAUUGUUCCAGUCGCUGCCCAGAACGAGUCCAAGGGGAUUGAACAACAAUAUGUUGUAUGUAGAUUCAUUUUGAGUGCACUCAAUCUCAAUUCUACUUUCAGACGUGCUCUCUAAAGUAAGCCUCUGCUCUCUUUUUUUUCCACAUCCAGUCCCCUUUUCACAAUGUGGCUAUCUUGCUUGCUUCUUAUGUGAAGGGUUUUAUUUGGUCGGAAAUCAUGAGUUGAUCUUAGGUUUAAUCGAGCUCUAGAUGAAGUUGAAUUCUAAUUCGACUUAUCUUUGGUUGCUCCUAAAUCCUUUAGAUCCUCAUGUCGCUCUUUUGAGAUAUAAAUUCUAAAUUGUGUACAUUGGCUUGGUUUUGGAUUUCUUACUAUUAGCUAAUUAUUAGUUUAGAUGUUCUAUUUGAGAGCUCAUGUGUCAGGCCAUGCGUUACUAAUCCUGAUUGAUUAUUGGUUUGCUCAUUUUUCCAGAAAUAGUAGAGUUCGUUCUUUGCUUUUUUUGUAUAUAAUACUCGUGUCAGUUUAAAGAAACUAAACAUGUUAGCCUGGAAUUCCUUGAAGUCUUUGCUAUGAUCUGUUAUUUCCACUACCCUUCGCAUAUUUAUGUUAAUACAUGUCAAUUGAUCUUAUGUGAUUUUCAUUCUAUGCUCCCUUUUCUUUCAUUUAUUUUAGUGUUAAUAUGGUUUCUGUUAUUGAAUGAAAUUUUGAGAUAAUGACAUGUUGAUUGGCAUUUUAACUUAGAUUCCAUAAGAAUAUGGUUCGUCCUUAAAACAGAUUUAUUCAAAUUUGUGUUUUUUUGUUGUUACGCUUUUCUUCUUUUGAAUUUUACCGUUGCUUCUUUCAUUCAUUUAGUCUCUAUCUUUUGUGACCACUGUUAGCAGUACUCUUAUUUUAUAAUUUCCAGAGUUAUAAAUAUAUGUCUAGUUUAAGUUGGUUGUUUAGCAAUUUAAUUUUUCUUUUUCAUAAAUUCUCUCAUUUGAGUCCAUUUGGACUCCCCAUCUCCUGCAUUUUCCUCUCUGAGUCAACCCUCUUUAAGUAGUGAAAGAGAAGCCAAAAAAACAAGCAGCAACCACAACUCAAAAUAGCUGAAAAUGAAAGUGUUUUCCGUUCAAAUUGGCCGCAAUUUGAACAGCUGAAAUUAGGCAGAAUUGUAGCAGUUUCAAAGUGUUAAAACGACUUUCUUUUCGACUUUAAAAGUCAGAGAAAAUCACAACAGGAACAGAAAGCAUUUUGGGUCGAAGGCCUUAGAUCUCAGCGGCAAAAGACAACAAUUUUAGCCCCCUAAAAUAGUUUGAUUGGGGCUGAAAUUUUCAGUUUUGGAUUCUCUGUUUAUGUUACUUCCUUUUUAUUAUUGUUAUUGUUGUGAUUGCUAACAUUCUCUAACAUUUUAUUGGCUUGGAUGAAUCCUCAUAUGAGUUUAACAUUAUUUAGUUUUUCCCUUUAUCAAAUUCCUUUUCAAGGAGUUGGAUUUGUUAACACAGUUUAUUUUUAGGCGACUUAAGCUUAUGGAAUAACUGAAGAACUAUGUAUGUUCUUUCAUAUUUAUUAAAAAGCUUUGAAUCCAUGUUUUAUGAAUUUGAACUAGCCAUUUGGUUCAAAAUAAUAACUCGGAUAAAUUAUUAAGUCAAAAAAUAUUUUCGACGGUUUUUACACCUUAAACAUCUUCCUUACUUAACAAGUGACCUUAAGUUUUUUCUUAAAUAUUAGCCAAACUUUAAAAUCCGUCGGUCAUCCGCGUGUUAGCGGAUUCUCUAAGGCGCCUAAACCCUUCCUUAAAGAAUUAUUUGAACCCUUACCCGACUUUGGUUUUAAAUGUUUUCUUUCAAAAAUCUCCUUUUAAAUGAUUUUCUUAUUUUUUUCCUAAACAAUAAGUGGUGACUUCCUAAAAUUUUUUUUUUCCAAAAACACAACAAAAAAUUGACCAAAGUUGCGAAAUCGUCUUUGAAACCUUUUCAGUUUUUGAAACCGGGUCGUAACAGAAUGACAACUCUGCUAGGGAUUCAUCUAGGUUCUAACCCAAAGGAUUUUAUUAUUUGGCUAACUAUUAUUGUAUUAAUUGUUAUUUGAUGCAAUUGUGUUUAAAUUUUGAUUAUUAACUAUUAUAUUGCAUUCAUGGUAUCUUCUGAUAUUAUAUGUACAGUAUAUUAAAGAAUGGUUUGCGAAACUGCAACCAGACUUUUUAUACUCAACCUUUUUUUGGAAUUACUGAUAAUUUAUUUGUUCGUCAUGUGUUCAAUAGUUAUCGUGAAUUUCAGCCUAAGUUGUCCGCUUAGGCUCCCGGUCCUUCAAAAGCCACUCUUAGUCAACUAAGUUAGAGCUCAACCAAAACCCUUUUUAGGCGCAUUAACCUAAGAUGAUCCAAUACCAAAGGUGUAUUGGACCCAUUAUAAGACCCCCUUGAGUCAAAUUCACCCUCGGUCAAUAUAAGACGAUCAUUCAAUUAUUUGUUAAAUUUGAAGGAUAUGUAUGUCGAUUUGUAAGUACCAUUGUCCUUUGGGGUUGGGAUCUUUAUUUUUAUAGGUAGUUUGUUUGUUUAAUUCAAGUGAAGACUCUCCUCAUCAAGAAGAAUUUAAAAAGCUUCAAGAAGUUCGGGAAUGAAGAUUCAUAUCGAAGCUUAGCUUAGUUUACCAUUGUACCCCUACGUGGGACUGAUAUUUAUUUCCCUUUCCUCUAUUGUGUAUCCCUAUUUAUUUUAUUCAUAAGUUUUGUAUAAAUAUUUUUGGGUCAAUGGAACGAUUUACAAAUGAUA